AACGAACGCUGGCGGCAGGCUUAACACAUGCAAGUCGAACGCUCGUAGCAAUACGGGAGUGGCGGACGGGUGAGUAACGCGUGGGAACGUGCCCUGAGGUACGGAAUAACUGCGGGAAACUGCAGCUAAUACCGUAUGAGCCCCGCAAGGGGAAAGAUUUAUCGCCUUGGGAGCGGCCCGCGUCGGAUUAGCUAGUUGGUGGGGUAACGGCCUACCAAGGCUUCGAUCCGUAGCUGGUCUGAGAGGACGAUCAGCCACACUGGGACUGAGACACGGCCCAGACUCCUACGGGAGGCAGCAGUGGGGAAUCUUGCGCAAUGGGGGCAACCCUGACGCAGCCAUGCCGCGUGAAUGAUGAAGGCCUUAGGGUUGUAAAGCACUUUUGUUGGGAAGAACCGCCGGGUUAAUACCCUGGUUGAAUGACGGUACCAAACGAAUAAGCACCGGCUAACUUCGUGCCACAGCCGCGGUAAUGUCGUCAUGU
rnacentral:rRNA from 1 species